AGCUCAGCUCGCAAUCAUUUUUCCCUUUUGACUUUCUCUUUUUUCAUCUGUAUCUCUCUGUUGCUUGAUAUUCCAUUACAAAAGUUGGAUUUUUUCUUCACCCUUUAAGCUGAAUGAAAUCGAAGAAUAUUACUUAUCUGCAUAAGGGGAUUUGGAAUUUUCGGAAAACGACGAGUAGCUGUGGUUCUGGUUCUGCUAAUUUCAGAUUUACAUGUUUUUUACGGAAACAAGAGAGUAAUUAUAACGAAUCACUAUCGAAGCUGCCGAAGUUUCUUAAUUUGGGGAAGCAAUUUUUAAAUUUUUUGGAACGCCUCUCUCUUUAUUUCCAUAUUUAGAGGCCUAAAUGCAAUUUCUUUGAGGGGUCUGGUUCCAGAUAUGAAAAACCCCAAAACUGUUAUUCGAGUUUAUGGGGUCAAUCAAUAUGGUUUCUUGGUGACUAAAGAAGGAAGAGGCUUGGAGGGGUUUGUUGGAGAAAUGGAUGAAUUUGAGAGCAAUUGAGGUUAAAGUGUUAACGUUAGCAGACUAACAAUGACCGACUGUAGUGUAGUGAGUGGGGCUUAUUCAAUGACCGACUUUCAGAGAUUGCGAUGUUAUUGAAUGUGAAUUAUUGGAGCUAAAAGGUUUGUAAAGUACAAGCAAGGUAUAUGAGAAAAGGUGGCGGUAAUAAGUAAAAGAAAAAAACAUUAUUAGAAAUAAUUGAAGAGAGAGGGGGAGAGAGACAGAGGUAAUAUAUACAUACAUGUAUAAAGGUGGAAAAUUUCAGCUCAAAGUUUGCGGAAAAAUGGGGAACCCUUGCCCAUCCUUACUAUGGUUCUGGUUAGUUGUAGUUUCUGAAUAGGUGGGGCUUGCUAAAAGUACUAGAUUGAGAAGUAAUGACUUGGAAAUGUGGAAUACAGUAGGUAAGGUUUGGAUUUAUGUAAUCAGUUUCUUUGUUUUGGUCGAAUGAAGUAGAUGGGGAUUUAGCUGCAGAAGGUUUACGGUUGGAAAGUGGUUUCUCUGCCGUGAGAUGCAUCAGGCGGUUUUAUAUUUAAUUCCUUGGUGUGCAUAGUUGGGCAGAUCUGAGCAGCCUUGCUUCUUCAACUCAUACAUACUCAAAGAAUUCAGCACUGUUUCUUGCAAGGCAUCUGGUGAUCAGUUACUUAAUUUGCAUUAUCCAAAAACGGUUUUGAAGUAGUUUUAUGAAUUCUGUGUUGCUGAUGGAGUGGAAUGAAAAACCUCCUUCACUAUGGGAUUUGGAGAACCUUUUCAUGUUUGGUGCAAAAGUAACUGACAAUUCCAAGAAGUUACAACCAGCAGACUGGGGUAUUGAAGGGGAACGAGGAAUGAACUCUGAAUCUUUCUAUUCAACUGGGGGUGAUGGGGGCAGUGGUGUUUCUGGCUCUGAUUUAGGAGAUGGUUCAUCAAAAAGUUCAAAAUCAGCUUCCGUCAGUUCUUCAGUUGGGGAAAGUAAGAAACCCAAUUUCAACCUUGACGCUUUUGAAGGUUUCCCGAAUGAUUUCAUUCAUAAAAAUGAAUCAGCUAAAGCUGAGGCCCUUGGAUCUUCUCCAACUCAUGAGGUUUCAGCUGGGUCGGGUGAGCCACUGCUCAGUCUAAAGCUUGGUAAGCGGAUGUACUUUGAAGAUGUUUGUGCAGGAAAUAAUCCUAAAUCCUCUUCCCUUUCUGUUAUUUCCUCGUCAAUGGCAAAGACAAAGAGGAGUAAGUCCACUGGUCAGAGUGCAUUUCCACCACACUGCCAAGUUGAAGGCUGCAAUAUUGAUCUGUCAUCAGCCAAAGAUUACCACCGUAAACAUAGGAUUUGUUCUAAUCAUUCCAAAUCUCCGAAGGUCGUUGUAGAAGGGGUGGAACGUCGGUUUUGCCAGCAGUGUAGCAGGUUCCAUGGCCUUUCUGAAUUUGAUGAAAAGAAGCGAAGCUGUCGCAGGCGACUUUCUGAUCACAAUGCAAGGCGCCGCAAGCCACAGACAGAAGCACUGAGAAAUCCAACAGGGCUGUCCUCAUCACUGUUCAGUAAAGAUGAGAGGCAACAGAUGAGCCUUGUUUUGGACCAAGCCCCAAGUGUUUACACAAGGCAUCCCUCAAAUUUAACAUGGGAUGGCGCAUGCAGCUUCAAGUUUGGACAAACGAAAGAAUAUUUUCCAAAGCCUGCAAAAGGAGGAGGCACUGGCGGGCAGCUGAAUUUGGCCAACAAUGGAAUUCCAAGUUCAAUAACAAUGCUGUAUCAUGAUUCCAGUAGGCUGUCACCUUCGAAGGGCACUGCCGCUGAGGUUCUCAACCGAGGUGCUGAAGAAUCUAUGAUCUCUUUCAACCUAGGUGCGACACAGGAUUUUCAUCGUGCUCUCUCUCUUCUGUCAACAAGUUCUUGGGUUUCAGGCGAGGCAAAACCUGUUGCACUUGAUAAUAAUACCAACCAAAAUUAUCAGAACAUGCCUCAACCUGGGACUCAAGCAAUGACCCAAGGUUUGCCUGUCUCAUCAGAGUACUGGCAAACUCAACAUCUAUCCCUUAAUACCCAAGAAGCACAUGUCUCCCACUCACACAGUAAUGGCAGCAACCACUUCCAUCAGGAUCUUCAUCAGUUCAAAGGGCCCUAUGAGUUUGGUUAUCAACCCAACCAAUUCAAUUAAAUUCGACCCAAAAGACUCUUCUUUUUUCCAUAUAAAUGUCACCCUUAUCAAGGAACUCAGCACUGCUUUGGUUUUACAACCGACAAGGUUUCAGAUCCUGCGUUGUGUGGUUGCGAAUUCACGAGCUGUGUUAUUUAGAUGUACCAUGUUAUGUCAUAAAUAAUUUGGAACUCAGCACUGCUUUGCUUUACAUUGUGGAAAUUUUUUUUUAUACUCCGCCUGACCCAGAAUGUUAUAUGGAGGAACAUUAGACCUUCCUCGUUUUGAUUUGUUCUGACUACUGGUACGUCAAAUUGAUGGGCAAUGGAUGACCCAUAUGGCCCUCCCUGAGCUUAGAUUGCUUGCGAGUUUAACAUCAAAGGGAAAGAAUCCGUGCCGACAUUUAUUUUUCCGAUCAUAGAGCGGGGACCAUGCAUAUACAUAAAUCUCUUGCCAAGAAGACCAUUUGAAUGUGCAUGUAUUAUUUAUUCUUCUGAGAAACAGCGGUUUUGACAAA